GAGCGGAUGACAGGAGCUUGCUCCUUGAUUCAGCGGCGGACGGGUGAGUAAUACCUAGGAAUCUGCCUGGUAGUGGGGGACAACGUUUCGAAAGGAACGCUAAUACCGCAUACGUCCUACGGGAGAAAGCAGGGGACCUUCGGGCCUUGCGCUAUCAGAUGAGCCUAGGUCGGAUUAGCUAGUUGGUGGGGUAAUGGCUCACCAAGGCGACGAUCCGUAACUGGUCUGAGAGGAUGAUCAGUCACACUGGAACUGAGACACGGUUCAGACUCCUACGGGAGGCAGCAGUGGGGAAUAUUGGACAAUGGGCGAAAGCCUGAUCCAGCCAUGCCGCGUGUGUGAAGAAGGUCUUCGGAUUGUAAAGCACUUUAAGUUGGGAGGAAGGGCAGUAAGUUAAUACCUUGCUGUUUUGACGUUACCGACAGAAUAAGCACCGGCUAACUCUGUG
rnacentral:rRNA from 1 species